AUGGUAGGAUAGAGGCCUACCAUGGUGGUAACGGGUAACGGGGUGUUAGGGCACGACACCGGAGAGGGAGCCUGAGAAACGGCUACCACAUCCAAGGAAGGCAGCAGGCGCGCAAAUUACCCAAUCCCGACACGGGGAGGUAGUGACAAUAAAUAACAACACAGGGUUCUUUGAAUCUUGUAAUUGGAAUGAGUACAAUUUAAAUCUCUUAACGAGGAACAAUUGGAGGGCAAGUCUGGUGCCAGCAGCCGCGGUAAUUCCAGCUCCAAUAGCGUAUAUUAAAGUUGUUGCAGUUAAAAAGCUCGUAGUUGAAUUUCGGGAUCAAUACGUCGGUCGUGCUUUCGGGUACGUACUGGCGUCAUUGGUUUCUCCUUUCUGACGAACCAUGAUGUCAUUAAUUUGGUGUUAUGGGGAGUUAGGACUGUUACUUUGAAAAAAUUAGAGUGUUUAAAGCAGGCAUUAGCUUGAAUACAUUAGCAUGGAAUAAUGAAAUAGGACGUUCGAUCCUAUUUUGUUGGUUUCUAGGAUCAACGUAAUGAUUAAUAGGGAUAGUUGGGGGCAUUAGUAUUCAAUUGUCAGAGGUGAAAUUCUUGGAUUUAUUGAAGACUAACUACUGCGAAAGCAUUUGCCAAGGAUGUUUUCAUUAAUCAAGAACGAAAGUUAGGGGAUCGAAGACGAUCAGAUACCGUCGUAGUCUUAACCAUAAACUAUGCCGACUAGGGAUCGGAUGAUGUUAAUUUUUUAAUGACUCAUUCGGCGCCUUACGGGAAACCAAAGUGUUUGGG
rnacentral:rRNA from 1 species